GGGGAUGACAGGCUUCGACGGAAGAGGCUGGUCCCGGAAUGCGAGCCGAGAGGCGCCGAACUCGUAAACUCAGCGCAAAAAAUCAAGUGCCAACCGCACUUCCUAUGCCGCUAUGCCUCUCGCCGCGUAAGCGAUGAGACCAUAACGGUCAACAUCCACAGAUGAUGUUGCGUCCGCCGGCACCCCUCUCCACCGGGUGACGGAUCGGGCGAGACAAAGGUGGAGUGCCGCGCACGACGCCGCUACAUGCGCGAAAGACCAGCGGCUGGUCGCAGGGAGUUCCUGUCGGACGAGACCCCUGCGAUGACGAAUCUCGACCGACUACGCUCGUAGAUUUCCGAGGGUCGAAUCUUUCGGACCCGGGUUCGAUUCCCGGCAUCUCCACUG
rnacentral:tmRNA from 1 species